UUUUGGUUGGGUUUUUGUUUUGUUUUUCUUUAGUUGGUUUGGUUUGGUGUGCUUUUUGUUUUUUUUAGGCAGAAUCUCACUAUGUACCUCUGGCUCACCUGAAACUCACUGUUAGACCAGUCUGUCCUGAAAUUCAUUGAGAUCCAUCUGCCUCUGUCUCCUCAUAGCUGGAUUAAAGGAUUUGAUAAGAAUGAUUGGAUUCUGCUAAGAAUUAAAGCAGGGAUUGCCGUGUGUGGAUUUUAUAUUGUGGUGUGUAUAAUUAAUUGCCUUCUCUUGAGUUUUUCCUCAAAACGUAGUCCUGAGUGUUGGUGAGAUGGCUCAGUGGGUGAAGCCACUUCCCUUGACUCUAUGCCUCAAUUGCUAGUCUUAAACUUGGACACUACCAUUGCUAGCCCCUUUUCUUAAUUAAAUUAAUUCUCUUACUGUUAAA